UUAAGUUCAGCGGGUUUUCUUGCCCAAUUUCAGACCAAGUUAACAGAUUAUCCAGCUUACGCGGAAAACCUGGGCAUUAGGAGUGCACGACAACAGGGUUGCUAGUGGCGAGCUCAACAGGUGGAAGCGAACAAUAAUAUUCAUCUUUUUGCACCUUUAAAGCUAACCGGCAACAGCCGAAGCCAGCACAAUCAUUUUGA
rnacentral:misc_RNA from 1 species